UUCCAACUUGGGCCCAGCAGAAUGGCUCCUGCAAAGCAGGGUGGUGAGAAGAAGGGCCGUUCUGCCACCAACAAGGUAGUGAGCAGAGAAUGCAUCAUCAGCAUUCACAAGAGAAUCCAUGGAGUGUGUUUCAAGAAGCAUGCCCCUCGGGCACUCAAAGAGAUCCAGAAAUUUGCAAUGAAGGAGGUGGGAACUCCAGAUGUGCGUAUUGACACCAGACUCAACAAAACUCUCUGGGCCAAAGGAACAAGGAAUGUCCCAUACAGUAUCCGGGCACGGUUGUCCAGAAAACGUAAUGAGAAUGAAGAUUCACCAAACAAGCUCUCUGCGUUGGUUACCUGCAUUCCUGUCAACACUUUCAAAAAUCUACAAACAGUUAAUGUGGAUGAGAAGUAA